CACGUAGGGGGCGAGCGUUGUCCGGAUUUAUUGGGCGUAAAGAGCGUGUAGGCGGCCAGAUAGGUCUGCUGUGAAAACUCGAGGCUCAACCUCGAGAUGUCGGCGGAAACCAUUUGGCUAGAGUCCGGAAGAGGAAAGUGGAAUUCCUGGUGUAGCGGUGAAAUGCGCAGAUAUCAGGAAGAACACCCGUGGCGAAGGCGGCUUUCUGGGACGGUACUGACGCUGAGACGCGAAAGCGUGGGGAGCGAACAGG
rnacentral:rRNA from 1 species